GACAGAGGGUGCAAACGUUGCUCGGAAUCACUGGGCGUAAAGGGCGCGUAGGCGGGGAUGUAAGUCGGGCGUGAAAUCCCCAGGCUCAACCUGGGAACUGCACUCGAAACUGCGUUUCUUGAGUAUCGGAGAGGAAAGCGGAAUUCCUGGUGUAGAGGUGAAAUUCGUAGAUAUCAGGAGGAACACCGAUGGCGAAGGCAGGUCUCUGGGCUGACACUGACGCUCAUGCACGAAAGCGUGGGGAGCAAACAGG
rnacentral:rRNA from 1 species